GUUGCUGGAGCUCGCCCGCCCUCUCUUGCUGCUGGAACCAUGAAGCCGGCCCCGCUCCACGUCAAGGCCCAGGCGCUGCGGAUCCGCCCGGAUGGAGCGCACGGAGACGCGGUUGGCCGAGGUGCUUGAAUCUGAAGGCAAGACUGCAUACAGGUGUGAAGCUGGCCUGUGGUCUCCUUGAGGACAGGGUGCUCAUUGGAAGAUCCAAGGAUGAAAGGAUAAAAUGGUCACUGAAAGAAAGAUCCAUGGGCUGAAGAUUCCAGUUUCUGUUUCCAGAUGUGGAUCGGGACGGUUGACCAUCCUUGAACUGGCCUUGGGCUGCAGCAAUUGUGACUGUUUGCCUCAUUCCAACAUGUAAUCGCAGCAGUAGUUCGAUCAGACUUUUCCAACAGUUAACUGACCAUAGAGGAAUAUUAGGAUGCAAAUAAAUAAAAAAAGGCAGUCAUGACCUCCCAAUUCCACAUCCAGGUGCUGCACCUUCCUAUGGACGGAGCUCACAGAAAGAUUCCUCCUGCCUUUGUCGCUGUCCAUUUCCUGGCCAAACAGGUGUACAUGCAGUCAAGUUAACAUGUUUACUAUUGCUGAGAUGAUGGACUUAUUUGAAGAUGGACCUGCUUAUAAGCAUUUGGUUUCGGAGUGAGUUUGGCCUGGGGAUCGCAUGAGAUUCCAGUUUCUGUUUCCAUAUGCAGUUCGGGACUGUUCACCAUACUUGAACAGGUCUCGGCCUGUCGCUGUUGUGACCAUUGCCUGGAUUGAAUUGCAGGAGCGAGUUCAUCGGGAGCAGCAGCGGAGGUGUGUUUGUUUCAGCAGGUCUGGUAUUGUCCCAGGCGAGGGAUGAUGGCAAAAGGCUUUGAUGCUUCUCGUCACGCUGGCAUGAUAGAUGAGGUACCAACAGAGCCAGUUGCCACACAUCAAUCUGAUUUAUGCACUGCAUGUGAAUGUCACCUUGUAACACUGGAAUAACAAUAAACAUUGUUACUUUA